rnacentral:rRNA from 1 species
CAGUCGCCGCGGGAAUACGGAGGGUGCAAGCGUUAUCCGGAUUUACUGGGUUUAAAGGGUGUGUAGGCGGGCUAUUAAGUCAGGGGUGAAAUCUCCGAGCUCAACUCGGAAACUGCCUUUGAUACUAUUAGCCUUGAAUUAUGUUGAGGUUGGCGGAAUAUAACAUGUAGCGGUGAAAUGCAUAGAUAUGUUAUAGAACACCGAUUGCGAAGGCAGCUGACUAAGCAUAUAUUGACGCUGAUGCACGAAAGCGUGGGGAUCAAACAGGAUUAGAUACCCCCGUAGUCCCUGUCUCUUAUAC